rnacentral:lncRNA from 1 species
AACGGUUCAUGAGUAAAUGCACGGACACAACAUUUUUUAAACUUUCAAGAACCGUAACUCCUGAACGGUAAAAGUCAAAAUCGUCAUUAUUGAACUUGACCUCCAUUUUGUUGUCAGUAACAACAUAUUAAAAUUUUAAAAGGUUUAGUUGAACGCUUCAUGAGUAAUGCAUGGCCAACAUUUGGUUGCCGCCCGCCCGCCGUACAUCCCCAA